rnacentral:tRNA from 1 species
GAGGAUAUAGCUCAGUGGUAAAGCACGUGCUUAGCAUGCACGAGGUCCUGGGUUCAAGCCCCAGUACCUCCA